rnacentral:tRNA from 1 species
AAAAGAUUAGUUAAAUUAUAACAUUAGUUUGUCAAACUAAAAUUAUUAAUAUAUUAAUAUCUUUUA